rnacentral:rRNA from 1 species
AACAAACGCUGGCGGCGUGCCUAACACAUGCAAGUCGGACGCGAAAGGGCUUUCGGGCCUGAGUAAAGUGGCGCACGGGUGAGUAACGCGUGGGUAAUCUGCCUCUAAGUUGGGAAUAACUCACCGAAAGGUGGGCUAAUACCGAAUAAUGCUGCAUGACUGCGGUUGUGCAACCAAAGAUGGCCUCUGCUUGCAUGCUAUCGCUGAGAGAUGAGCCCGCGUAACAUUAGCUAGUUGGUCGGGUAAUGGCCUACCAAGGCUACGAUGGUUAGCUGAUCUGGGAGGAUGAUCAGCCACACUGGAACUGAGACACGGUCGAGACUCCUACGGGAGGCAGCAGGGAGGAAUCUUGCGCAAUGGGGGAAACCCUGACGCAGCAACGCCGCGUGAGUGAGGAAGGCCUUCGGGUCGUAAAGCUCUGUCGGGUGGAAAGAAACGUACGAAUGUUAAUAGCAUUUGUGCUUGACGGUACUGCCAAAGAAGCACCGGCUAACUCCGUGCCAGCAGCCGCAGUAAAAC